AUGGGGUUCAUGAUGACCUUAAUUUCAUUCCUCCAUCCCUACAUGGUGUUCAAGAGAUAGUCGUGCAAACUACUUCUCAGUUAUUGGAUGAAGAUAAUACAAGGAGGGAUAUUAUUUCCCAUUAUGUAGCUCAAUAGGAUAGAGUGAGACAUAAAGAAGUGUGUCUAGCUAAACUAAAGGAUAGACCUUAAGUACCCCCAGC
rnacentral:lncRNA from 1 species